UAAACUCUCACUUGGGGAGAUCAUGUGAUCUGGCCUACUUACAUCAAUUGAAAUUUACUUUUUUUAGUGUUGUUGAGUUCUUUUUUUUUUCUUUUUAGCUCAGCCAAAUGUGAAAGUUGUGAAUUUCGGAAAAUAAUUUGUAAUGAAGUGUGAGUCAUGUUAUCAAAUUUAUUUCACGGAUGUUUCCCUCCUUAUCCCUGUGGCAAAUAAAACAUUGGCAUUCUAUUUUUAUAGAUGAAGUAAGAAGUCUUGUGUACUGCGACUUAAUAAUGCUUUUGCCUUCUUAAUAUCGUCAGUUCUUAAGUGUUACAACCCUUUCGGAAUAUAGCUUCAGGAUAGUUUAUGCUUAAUGUAUGUUUUUUCUUCAUACUGGUGGCUUUUGUAUGCUGAUAGAAAACCGGUGUGAGAAGUGGUCUUUGAAGUAAUUCAGUAUAGUUUUGUUUAUUGUAAAUGAGUUUUCUCCUUUAUUCAUCACAUAUUAAAGUACUGAAGUAUUAUAACCAAUUUGCUAAAAUGUGGUGUUAACACAUGAGAUCUUCCAUUAGGAGAGGAAACAUACAAAAUCAAUGACUUGCCAAGAUCCAAGCAAUGACAGUGAUAGUUGUCACCGUUUUGAUAGUUAACAGUCUGUGUAAAUGGUGCAGUCAUAGUAAAGUAGGCCUGAUUUAAGCUGGAGGUAUAAAAUAAGUCCUUUUUAUUUUUUAGGGUCAACUAUAUAAGAUGAACGUUUAUUUACAAUACUAAUGUAUGAUUUUGGGUAGAUUUCUGAUAUUUUUUUGACUUCCUAUAACAAUCCAUUUGCUAUGUGGGCAAACAAAAACAUUCUGAAUUCCAGUUUUUGAAAUCCCUUUUAUAAAUGUGCAGAUACUAUGGAGUUCUCAUCACUAGUAUAAGCAUGUAAAGAGAACACCAGUUAAAACCCAGUAAUUACAGAAGCAAAAAGUCGGUAUUUCAUAAUGAGGCAAGUAAGCUUUAAUAUCCUCGUUAGUGUUUCCCAAAAGAAAAAUGAAUUCUCAUAAAAAUAUAGCUAUAAGAGCGAUUAGUCAAGAGGCACCAUAGCAUAUCGUUAAAAGCCAGACAGAUCCUGCUGGAGCCUAGACUCCACCACUGGAACUGUGUGACCUUGGGCAAAAUACUUAACCUCUGUUUGUCUCCAGUGCUCUCGUGCAAAGGGUUUAACGAUCACACCUGCUCCAUAGAAAUGUGAUACGCGUAAUACGGGGAAUAGAGUAAAUACAUGUAGUUGAUACACGCAAGCACAUAGUGCCUGGUACACAGUAAGAUCUCAGUGAUUCCUAGCUGUUGUAAUUACAGAAAACUAUGCAAACCUGAAGCAUUUGGACAUGUGUAAAAUGUGCUACAGAAUAAAUAUUCAACA
rnacentral:lncRNA from 1 species